rnacentral:rRNA from 1 species
CCCGGGCCUUGUACACACCGCCCGUCACGUCACGAAAGUCGGUAACACCCGAAGCCAGUGGCCCAACCUCAGGGAGGGAGCUGUCGAAGGUGGGAUCGGCGAUUGGGACG